AGACUGUGUGAAGGACUCAGCUUUCUAGCAGGUUGUUAUGUGCUUGAGUUAAUGCACCAAACAGAAGGGCAAGCUUCGCUAGGCUCCGCUAUGAGGACUGUCCUCUUAAGGCCUCAUGGAUCAGAGACCUUCUAAGGGUGUAUGUCUAGAAGUGGAAUUCCUGGGUUGUAAGGUUACAACUCCUAGACGUUAAACUCCAUUUGUCACUGCUGGAUCCCCAAUGCCCAGAAGAGGAGGUAGGCUCAAGCAGGUUCUGAAGACACAACUGGAUUGCAUGAGCAGGUUUCACUCAUCCCUGCAUAGAGACUGUUCUCCAAGGACCAACUAUUUGUGGAAGUGUUUUUGAGAGAGGGGAAAGGUCACCGAGCAGAAUACCCCAGCUUGAACAUUUUUUCUGGGGUUUCCAAAUUUCUCUGUCCUUGAGGUCAAUAUCUGGUUGCAACUCCUCCGGGUGCCUCUGGUUCACGGUCUCUCUUGAAGUCUCAGUCAAACUCUUCACUGUGGCUGCAGUCUCAUCUGAAGGCUGUCCUGGAGGGAAGGAGCCCACUUACAAGCUCACUCUUGUGGUUGCUGAGUUGUUGGCUGGCCUCGUGCUCUUGCCCUGUGGGUCUCUUCACAGGGAUGUUUCAUGAUGUGGCAGCUGGUUUUCAUCAGGCAUUUUUUAUUUGAAAUCAUUGAGAACUGAAACCACCCUUGUUCCUGAAGCCUUGUAAACUGAAGCUGGAUAACUUGAGAUAAACUUAAGAGAUCACCACUAUAGCAUGCCUGUUGCUAGGUAAGCCACUCAAAAGGAUACCUAAAUAGUCUGACAUCAUCAGAGACAUUUCAUGCUACAAAAUAUGCUUCAACCCUGACAUCUAAAAAUCUUCUUGACUGAUUGUCAAUUUACAAGGAAAAGGCUUUGCUAGCAAAAAUAGGUUUGUCACUGGCCAUAAGGAUUGUAAAAUAACUUUGGACUCCACAUCUAUGAGUAUAGGCAGUCCCAGCUAGGUUCUGUGUGUGGUGUCCUC
rnacentral:lncRNA from 1 species